UUCCCGGUACGCCAUGCCUAAAUGACUCAGGGUCUUGAUAUAAAAAGAUAGAGCAAAAUGUAUUAGAAAUUAAUCGUGAAAAAUCAAGCAACAUAUAUAUACAAAACGAGCAAACAAUUUAACGCACGCAUGAAGACGUAAAAGCAACGUGGAAUUUCACAGUGACGCGAGAGAGGAUUUCCUGUCAAUGACGUCAAGAUAUUCACUCAAACCCGACUUCCCUCAAGAUCAUUUCCGUUUCGUGCAGUUCUGGGCUACGGCGCGGGAGUGACACAAGGCAUCGUGAAAACUAAGCAUCGAAAGGAACAAACUUCAGAUAAUAACAGCUGUUUUAUACGAGGCAUAUUGACAAACUUAUCAACGACAGCGGUUGACAAAAAAACUAAGGAAAAAACCCGCAUACCAAGAGCAUCUUCGAUUAAGAUUCGGAAAACAUGGGAGACUGUGGCGGUGGAGACAUCAGCAGCAGCGGCGACUGUGGCGGCGGCGGAGGAGACUCGAGCUUCAGCUGCAGCGAUGGAGGGGAGGAGGAGGAGGAGGAGAUUUCAGCUGUCAUGCAAUUUCAACGAAUGGCGAUCAUGCCAUCUCGAUAUUCUCAACGCCGCACUACAAAGGAACGGGAUUCUCUCCCAGUUCGAGAAAUGGAAGAGGUGGAGGAAAAGGAACCUCCUGUUCUAUAUGUAAAGUGCUAGGUGUGCUUUUGGGCGUGGCUGUUAGUAUCGGCAUCGUUAUCGUACUCGUUGUCAUUAGUGCCAGGUAGAACUUCGACAGUUGCCGUGUACGGGGCACCGUUCAGUGUAGUCCGUUUGUGGUGAGGUGUGUUAACUGCAUUACUUUUUCCCUUUUCAAUGUUUAUCUGUCUAGUUGUUCAACUUUCCCAACUUCGCUUUCUCCUACUUUCACUUCUUGUAUAAGCACAAAUCCUGGGUCAGUUAUAAAAGUGGAACGAUUCUCUAGACUCAGUUGACUCUAGGCAUAUGACUCGGUAGAAAAGAGUACAGAGAUAUUGCUCGGUGAAAUGAUUCUAUAAAAAAAUAUGCGUCUGACGGGAAUGAAACUCUCGCAAUCUAACCUGGUCUCACUGAACUUCUUAAAAAAAAAAAAAAUUAAACGUAUAGCCAUUGUUCUAAUAUGUAUAUAUACAAAUAUCGCGUGAAGAGACUUGUGGGAGAAAAAAUGUAUGUCAUACAUUUCGGCUGUAACUAAAAAUCUAAUCGCAUCGAAUGUUCAAAGUGAUAUGUUCUUCGGUGGCGGAAUCAAAACACAAUUACUUGAUUUAGCUUUAACUAAGGAUGAGAGUUCUUGAAAGCUUCCGGAUGUAUGAUGUUUAACACUGAAUUUUGGACUAUAUUAUAUAUAACUAAUUGAGUUUUUUUUUAUUUAUUGUGUUCACUUUAUUGUGAAGUGUAUUUGAUGUUCAGUCCAAUUAAGAAAAAAAGUCCACAAAUCUAAUCCUAUGAUAUGUGACCUGACUUUAUUGAAUUAGUUUAGUUUAUCAUUAUGUACAAGUUCAUAACUACUUAUUUAUUAUACUUCCAAGUGACUCUACUGCAAGUUUUCAUCAGAAAACGGAGUAAUCGUGACAUUGUUCAAAAGUGAUCUACUGCUAAGAGAGAGAUAUCAUACCUGUAUUUCAAUUUCUUAGAGGCAGUUUGAGUUAUAUCUUUUACAUAAGCCACAUCAAGUUUGCAAAAUUAAUUCUGCAAGCAAUACUGAUUUCACGGUGUUAUUUAAAAAAUCACAAAUGUUUUUACGCUAAAGUUUUGAGAGAGAGAGAGACCAUGCGAUUAUCAAAAGAAUUAUAUUCUGUAACCUUAUGGUUAUAUUUACAGAUUCUUCCACGUGGCAGUCUAAUAAUAAUGUUUCGUAUUUAAGGUAAAUUUAUUAUGUAAAAAGCAAUGCUGAGAGCAAUGAUAUAUAAAAUAAACAAUAACAAAUCAA